UACGUAGGGAGCAAGCGUUGUCCGGAAUCAUUGGGCGUAAAGCGCGCGUAGGUGGCCCCAUAAGUCCGCUGUGAAAGUCAAAGGCUCAACCUUUGAAAGCCGGUGGAUACUGUGGGACUAGAGUACGGAAGAGGCGAGUGGAAUUCCUGGUGUAGCGGUGGAAUGCGCAGAUAUCAGGAGGAACACCAAUAGCGAAGGCAGCUCGCUGGGACGUUACUGACACUGAGGCGCGAAAAGCGUGGGGGAGCGAAACAGG
rnacentral:rRNA from 1 species